AUUGAACGCUGGCGGCAUGCUUUACACAUGCAAGUCGAACGGUAACAGGGUGCUUGCACCGCUGACGAGUGGCGAACGGGUGAGUAAUGCGUCGGAACGUGCCGAGUAGUGGGGGAUAACGCAGCGAAAGUUGUGCUACUACCGCAUACGUACUGAGGUAGAAAGUGGGGGACCUUCGGGCCUCACGCUAUUCGAGCGGCCGGCGUCUGAUUAGCUGGUAGGUGAGGUAAAGGCUCACCUAGGCGACGAUCAGUAGCGGGUCUGAGAGGAUGAUCCGCCACACUGGGACUGAGACACGGCCCAGACUCCUACGGGAGGCAGCAGUGGGGAAUUUUGGACAAUGGGCGAAAGCCUGAUCCAGCCAUGCCGCGUGUCUGAAGAAGGCCUUCGGGUUGUAAAGGACUUUUGUCAGGGAGGAAAUCCCUAGUGCUAAUAACACUGGGGGAUGACAGUACCUGAAGAAUAAGCACCGGCUAACUACGUGCCAGCCGCCGCCGUAA
rnacentral:rRNA from 1 species